rnacentral:rRNA from 1 species
CCUACGGGAGGCAGCAGUAGGGAAUCUUCCGCAAUGGACGAAAGUCUGACGGAGCAACGCCGCGUGAACGAUGAAGGCCUUCGGGUCGUAAAGUUCUGUUGUUAGGGAAGAACAAGUGCUAGUUGAAUAAGCUGGCACCUUGACGGUACCUAACCAGAAAGCCACGGCUAACUACGUGCCAGCAGCCGCGGUAAUACGUAGGUGGCAAGCGUUGUCCGGAAUUAUUGGGCGUAAAGCGCGCGCAGGCGGUUUCUUAAGUCUGAUGUGAAAGCCCCCGGCUCAACCGGGGAGGGUCAUUGGAAACUGGGAAACUUGAGUGCAGAAGAGGAAAGUGGAAUUCCAAGUGUAGCGGUGAAAUGCGUAGAGAUUUGGAGGAACACCAGUGGCGAAGGCGACUUUCUGGUCUGUAACUGACGCUGAGGCGCGAAAGCGUGGGGAGCAAACAGGAUUAGAUACCCUGGUAGUCCACGCUGUAAACGAUGAGUGCUAAGUGUUAGAGGGUUUCCGCCCUUUAGUGCUGAAGUUAACGCAUUAAGCACUCCGCCUGGGGAUACGGUCGCAAGACUGAAACUCAAAAGUGUAGUCGGCGNGNGAGAGCGACGACGACGACGACGGAGGGAGGAGG